UAUGGAGGGGGCUAGCGUUGUUCGGAAUUACUGGGCGUAAAGCGCACGUAGGCGGUUUUGUAAGUUAGAGGUGAAAGCCUGGGGCUCAACUCCAGAAUAGCCUUUAAGACUGCAUCACUUGAACACGGGAGAGGUGAGUGGAAUUCCGAGUGUAGAGGUGAAAUUCGUAGAUAUUCGGAAGAACACCAGUGGCGAAGGCGGCUCACUGGACCGUUGUUGACGCUGAGGUGCGAAAGCGUGGGGAGCAAACAGG
rnacentral:rRNA from 1 species